rnacentral:rRNA from 1 species
UACGUAGGGUCCAAGCGUUAAUCGGAAUUACUGGGCGUAAAGCGUGCGCAGGCGGUUUUGUAAGCCAGAUGUGAAAUCCCCGGGCUUAACCUGGGAAUGGCAUUUGGGACUGCAAGGCUCGAGUGCGGCAGAGGAGACUGGAAUUCCUGGUGUAGCAGUGAAAUGCGUAGAUAUCAGGAGGAACACCGAUGGCGAAGGCAGGUCUCUGGGCUGACACUGACGCUCAUGCACGAAAGCGUGGGGAGCAAACAGG